rnacentral:rRNA from 1 species
UACAGAGGGGGCAAGCGUUGUUCGGAAUUACUGGGCGUAAAGGGCGCGUAGGCGGCCCUGUCAGUCGGGUGUGAAAGCCCGGGGCUCAACCCCGGAACGGCACCCGAGACGGCGGGGCUGGAGACCGGGAGAGGAGGGUGGAAUAGCCAGUGUAGAGGUGAAAUUCGUAGAUAUUGGCUGGAACACCGGUGGCGAAAGCGGCUCUCUGGCCCGGUUCUGACGCUGAGGCGCGAAAGCGUGGGGAGCAAACAGG